UACGUAGGGUGCGAGCGUUGUCCGGAAUUACUGGGCGUAAAGAGCUCGUAGGUGGUUUGUCGCGUUGUCCGUGAAAACUCACAACUCAAUUGUGGGCGUGCGGGCGAUACGGGCAGACUGGAGUACUGCAGGGGAGACUGGAAUUCCUGGUGUAGCGGUGGAAUGCGCAGAUAUCAGGAGGAACACCGGUGGCGAAGGCGGUUCUCUGG
rnacentral:rRNA from 1 species